rnacentral:rRNA from 1 species
UAGGGAAUCUUCCGCAAUGGACGCAAGUCUGACGGAGCAACGCCGCGUGAGUGAAGAAGGAUUUCGGUUCGUAAAACUCUGUUGUUAGAGAAGAACAGCGCAUAGAGUAACUGUUAUGCGUGUGACGGUAUCUAACCAGAAAGCCACGGCUAACUACGUGCCAGCAGCCGCGGUAAUACGUAGGUGGCAAGCGUUGUCCGGAUUUAUUGGGCGUAAAGCGAGCGCAGGCGGUCAAUUAAGUCUGAUGUGAAAGCCCCCGGCUCAACCGGGGAGGGUCAUUGGAAACUGGUUGACUUGAGUGCAGAAGAGGAGAGUGGAAUUCCAGGGGUAGCGGUGAAAUGCGUAGAUAUAUGGAGGAACACAAGUGGCGAGGGCGACUCUCUGGUCUGUAACUGACGCUGAGGCUCGAAAGCGUGGGUAGCAAACAGG